UCCAAUUACAUGCAGUUAGAUUUUAUAAUGCAUGUUUGAUGCCGCCCCUUGAGUUGGGCCAUUUUCAUUCCUCAGUGCCAGACCCUUAAUCUUUGAGAUUUGGGUCUGGAGUUCCAGGCUACUAGAGUUUUGGAACUGAACAGCAGCC